ensembl:lncRNA LINC02313 long intergenic non-protein coding RNA 2313
GUUUCUGAGGCUUGCAGCCAGUGGUCCCGUUAGUCUGCACGUCUCCGAGUUGCCCUCCCAGAGGAGAAAGCAUAUGCUGCUGGGACCGACUGCAGCUCCUCAUGGAUGCACCUGCCACCAGAAAAUUGUUGUUCAGUCUGGGAUUGCUUUCUCUUCCCAAAGCACAAUCUCACAUGCAGUCAUGAGCCCAGUCCAGCCUCUGGGACAGAAGAUUUCGUGCUUUUAUAAACCAACAGCACUGCAGGUGCUGCACAAGGAAUGGAAAAUCAAUCUGAGUGUCAUUAAGAGCAUACUCCCUGAAGAAGAUUGCUGAUGACAGUGGAUUUGUCACCCAGCUCAGUGUCUUUUCCUGAGCAAUAGGAAUUUCUUCCAUGGGGAAUGAAACCUAGUGUUGUUUCCCUGUCUGAAUCCAGGCCUUUCACUGACCUGCCAAGUUUUCAUUCCAUUGUCUCACUGUCAUUGGCUGAUCUGAUCUCUACAUUGAUUAAUUAGUUUCAAGCCCCUUCAUACUGAUCUAAUAAAAUUGGCUUGUUUAAUUUGUGUCAGGAAA